rnacentral:rRNA from 1 species
GACGAACGCGGGCGGCGUGCUUAACACAUGCGAGUCGAACGGAAAGGCCGUGCUGUUGUGGGGUGCUCGAGUGGCGAACGGGUGAGUAACACGUGAGUAACCUGCCCUGGACUUUGGGGUAACUUCAGGAAACUGGGGCGAAUACCGGAUAGGAGCUCCUGGCGCAGGGUGGGGGUUGGAAAGUUUCGGCGGUUGGGGAUGGACUCGCGGCUUAUCAGCUUGUUGGUGGGGUAGUGGCUUACCAAGGCUUGGACGGGUAGCCGGCCUGAGAGGGUGACCGGCCCCAUUGGUCCUGAGAUACAGCCCAGCCUCCUACGGGAGGCAGUCGUGGCGAAUAAUGCACAACGCGCCGAAGCCUGACGCAGCAACGCCGCCUGCGGGAUGACGCCCUUCGCGUUGUAAACCGCUUUCGCCUGUCACGACGCGUGAGUGACGGUAAUGGGUAAAGAAGCACCGGCUCACUACGUG